CAUACCUAUUCGAAGGGAUAGGGUCGGUUUGGCCGGAUUUCACACAGGUGUUGCAUGGCUGUCGUCAGCUCGUGUCGUGAGAUGUUGGGUUAAGUCCCGCAACGAGCGCGACCCUCAUCCUUAGUUACCAUCAGGUUAUGCUGGGGACUUUAAGGAAACUGCCAGUGAUAAACUGGAGGAAGGUGGGGAUGAUGUCAAGUCAUCAUGGCCCUUAUGGAGUGGGCUACACACGUGCUACAAUGGUGAUUACAAUGGGCUGCAAGGUCGCAAGGCUGAGCUAAUCCUAAAAAAUCAUCUCAGUUCGGAUUGUUCUCUGCAACUCGAGAGCAUGAAGUUGGGAUCGCUAGUAAUCGUGGAUCAGCAUGCCACGGUGAAUACGUUCUCGGGUCUUGUACACACUGCCCGUCACGCCAUGGGAAUUGGUUUCACUCGAAGCU
rnacentral:rRNA from 1 species